UGAAAGUGUGCGCGUAUGCAAAAGUUCACGAGCAUCCGUCGCGAACUAAGCUCGUCCGAAGGCUUGGCAAAAAAUUGAUAAGAGUUAAGGAAACUGAACAAGCACACAACUAUCACCACUGCUUCAAACUAAUUCCUCUUCGUUAUUUGGCGCAAAGCAUAAAAGCUCGCUCAGUUUGAAGACCACUCCAGUUCAUUUUCAUAUUAUUAAAGGUUGUGAGUUGUGAGGCCAAAAAUAGAAGACAGCUGAGGCAAGCGCGAAAUGGCAACAGCACGACACCAACCGCGAUAUAGAAGAAGGGGCACAUCUCGCGGCAUAUACAAGCGUGCUGAUUUUUUUGCAGUGAUCCCUCCGUGAAUCUCUCGUGGUGCUAUCUAGUUUCCAUAGCUAGAACGAACCCCGCAGCAUUCUCACUCUGGCGGAAGAGUGUGCAAAAUCACUAUUGCGAAUUUGCGAAUUUACCUUCUACGCUCCUCUGCUCCCUGGGUAUAUUGGCAAAGUCACAUCGGCGAUGGACGGGUUCCUGAAGGACAAAUGACGUAUUUUGCGAAUAGGACAAGCGUUAGAAGCGGCCUACAAAAGACGAUCUCGUUUGGUGAGCAGACCGAGAAGUGCCAAGCGGCCUGGCCUGGUGCUGCAAAAUUCGCUCAACAAAGCUCGCCGAUUUAAAGGCGAGGCUUUGAUUUGCCAAAAUUCAGCUCGACUGGUCGAAAACAAGGCCCAACUCGGCGUCAUACCAAGUUCAUCUCACCUGGCCGGGUGGAAGGAAGAGAGCGAGAAUUACAAAAAUCGAACUCUCUGUUGGAGGAAAAUGCUCUGAGUAAAACCUCUCUUUGGCGGGAAAACAAAUGUUUCGAGUAACAGGCGUUCAUGAAAUCCUAGGAGUACGCGCAGCGGUGAGAGCGACGAGUUCGUGCUUCCAUAUUUCAACAUGAGGGCGAUAACCUGUAUAUCGCACGGAGCUGCGAUUGUUGCAGUUUAAAGACAAAAUGAGCGUACAAAUAAACCGCUGGCAGUAAAAAGCGUAAUCAAGCGAAAAUUAGUUUUGUGCAGGAUGCAGAUAAGAGCUGAUUUCCGCCCACGCUGCACCAAACAUAUAUAAAAUGGCCAAAAUGCAACGACAGUGCGUUAGUAGUUGUCAAAAUAAGCUGAAUUAGUUAUCAUUUCAAGCGUGCAUGUGCAUAUAUGCGUACUCGCAGAACACACGUCAUGCAUUGCACAUUUUUCCAAACCAAAUUUCGCAGUCUCAAGAAGGCAACUGUGAGCAAAAGCAUCAUGGAGGCGAUGUUGACGAAUUAGCACGUUGUGAUAACUGCCCGGCAAGCGAAAUCAGGGACAUUGGCCGAGUGCUAUUCGCUAGGCUGAACCUGGGACUAGUGCUGACCAUAACGGAAGGCGUGACCAACACCUGGUGACACCAAUGCACCGAUCGCAAAUUUAUUUGGGAGCCAUUUUGAGGUCUCCUUUGUGUUUGGAGAUAGAGACGGCAUUUGGCGUCGCAACUCUCAGCCGCGGUGUGUAUCGGGUUUUCAGAGGCCUCAACUCGCGUAGGAGGUCGCUCCAGCACCGACAACUGUGCGCUUGUCUGUUCAGGACAUUGACUCUUGCCAGUAUCGAGCUGGAGAGAGCCACGUCCGCGAAGGCGGCUGCAGAGGCCGGCUUCGGCACCAAAAAGGUCAUCGAGGUCUUACAGACCCUUUCCGAGGGUUUUUUGCGAGGGUAGGCUGGAAUCCAGCAAUGCCAACAGGAUGGGAAUUGUUUCCGCCGGUUCUUUCGCGCAGGGGGUGGCUGCAUUGUAGGGGAUACGACCACCCCCAAAGCUGCCGCGGGGAAAGUGGAUCACAGGCAGCCGCAAUCAGCUGCUGCCGACCAACCUCGGCUAUCAGAUGUAUCCAAUGAGAAAGGACGAAUAGAGGCCAUUCCGUAAGCAGAAAGGCCCCCGAGCGGUUCACACGCAUCAGGAUCGCAUAAAACUCAAGCGAGCCGAAUAAUGUGCUCCGCGCUCGCGAGUAAAGUCAGAAUGUAAGCGAUAUCUCGCGCGUGGAUCGGUGCUGCCAUCAAGCGGAAUUUAUAGCAAGCAGCCUGCAUUGCAAUUCUAUUAUAGGCUCAAUUAAGAAGCAAAUUUAUGGAUUUCCAAUGCUGGGAACAUUGAACAGUGCAAUAAGUUCAAUGCAAUGGGAAUAAUUCGAAAAAUCUACAUUUCCGUCAUUAAUUUCGUGAUUGCUAAGACUGUAAUAAAUUAUCAGGCAGCUUCAAAAGGAGGACAAUCCUUCCCAUUAUAACUCCUGAUUCUCGUCCAGACCUAAUAUUCAUUUACUAUAAUUUUAUGCGUUAUGGCUAUAUUUAUAUCCCAAAUGAUAAUGGUUUAUCAUUAGAUUAAUUCUUUACUGCCAUUAGUUCAUUUUUUUCUGCGAUUAGACUUUAUUUGCUUGAGGUCAAUUAUUGGCGAUCCCGUCAAGAAGUAUGGCUUAUGUAAUCCUCAUUGAAUGACUGUAAUGCGGCACAGUUUCGACUUGUGUGUAAGGCGAAGCCAGUAGACAGAUUUUUCGCCAUCCAAUUUAAAAAUAAUAUCCCUUUCACGUGAGAGGUUGGGUCAAUCCGGCAGUGCUCCCAUAUAUUUCUAGAGAUGGUUUGUAGUGCUUUAGUAAGUGUGCUUAAGAUAGAUUUUCCUUUUCCUCCUAAUAAAUCCAAUUACGAGAAAUGCACCAUAUUUUCUUAACAAUAUAUAGCAUUAGGAAACCUACUGUCAGAAAUGUACUACUUAAAUUAAUUUGUUUAAGUCGAUGCCCAAUUAUUUAUCCCCCAUUCAUGUCGGUUUGAGGGGUAUUUUUUUCAACAAUGAUUUUAAAUUUUAAAGUAGAGAAUUUGGGAUUUAGGUUUAGUUUCAAAGUAAUUCUAUUAUGGUUCUGCAGGGCUAUUUUGCCCCAUAGUAAAGUAAAGCGUGUCUUACAAAGCUAAUUUUUUAUGUUGCAAUUUCCAAAUUAGUUUGUUAAUCAGAAAUUUAUUCUUGCGACAGAAAAUAAUGUCCUGUGUGCUGCACUGCUCCAGCGCAAGUAAAAUGAUAUAUUAAAUUCUUGGCAAGCAUACAUGCAGCAGCAAAAAAGAGAGCAAGAAAUUCUUCGCAGUGAGUACUUCUUAAAAAAAAAACAAGUCAUCUUUGUUCUUUUCUAAAGAAACGCGAGAGUUCAAAGCAAACAAGCACAACAUAUUAGAUAGUGCAGCAGAGGAAAUAAAAUCACGUUUUCGUUCCUUUUGCAUACAACCAUUGUCAAAAUGACAUUUUAAAAAAGAAUACCAGCGAAGAAUAUUUCAACGGCACAGUUGAAUAUAAUAGCUCAUUUUGGAUUGUAAUUUUACAGGUAUAAAUGACUCAGAAAUAAAAGUAUUUAUAUUAUUUAUUGAAUCUUUCUAAAGCGGUUUAUUGAAAAACACAAUAAUGACAUGAAUUUUACCAUUAAGUGUUCGUGCAGCAAAACUAGAUAAUACUGUCAACACCAUCAUUAUUUUUCCUCCCCACUCGUUGAUUAAGUGCAGCGGGGUUCACGUGUGAUUAAAAUUUUUGAAUAGCGGCUCUCGUUCGCAAUCAGUGGGUGCAACGAACGGCAGCAGGGCUUGACGGGGCGAGGUCACUCAAGGUCGUUGGGGUCUGCUGCGGCAGUAGAGGAGCACCGCCAGAGUGCAGAAGUACGCGGCGGGGCUCAAUUCACUCCGCACGCGCUCUGUAUUGCCGCAAACCAGUCGAUAUCGCCCCUUGCCACGCCUUCCUCCCUCUCGCCGGCGGUGGCGGCCCUUCUGCCACCCCCGCACGGACGACCGAUCCUUGCGAAUCGCGCCACCCUCGGCGUCGCGUAUUUAUUUGCAAUUCUACCUUUUCUGUCGUCGCACGUGCGAUAUCAAAGAUACGUGUUAAUGUACUUGCUUUGAGAUUUUGCACCACAAU